rnacentral:misc_RNA from 1 species
GAUGAAGAACGCAGCGAAAUGCGAUACGUAGUGUGAAUUGCAGAAUUCAGUGAAUCAUCGAAUCUUUGAACGCACAUUGCACCUCUCGGUAUUCCGGGAGGUAUGCCUGUUCGAGCGUCAUUUGUACCCUCAAGCUCUGCUUGGUGUUGGGUGUUUGUUCCGCCUCUGUGUGUGAACUCGCCUCAAAACGAUUGGCAGCCGGCGUACUUGUUUCGGAGCGCAGCACAUUUUGCGAUCCAGAUCAACGUACAGCGGCAUCCAAGAAGCCUUAUUUAACGCUCUUGACCUCGGAUCAGGUAGGGAUACCCGCUGAACUUAAGCAUAUCAAUAAGCGGAGGA